rnacentral:lncRNA from 1 species
UGGAUUCCCACAGGUAUGUAGCACUAUUAGGAGCACUUUUAGACAGAAGGUGGGUAUAGAGUGCUCUCACUCUGCUUCUUUUUACACUAGUUAUAUUUUUUAAUGCUGUGAAAGCAGUGUCAGGGCAGGACUUUGGGGCAGAAGCCAAGAGCUCCACUCAGCAGAAGGAGCAGGAGUACCCCUGUCCCCGAUGGGCCUGGCUUACCUCAUUUUGAAGUGAAGCAGCGCAAAGAGCAAUUGCUCUUUGGCAAUGCGAUGUGUGAUUAUUGGUUGUGUUGUCUGCCUUAGAACUCUGUUUUAAAUUGUUUUCGGUAUGUUCUACAGAGUAUACUAGAUAUAGGAUAACAGACAUUACAAAAGCAGCAUAAGUCUCCAGUGGUCUCGGCUUCUUCGGAAAAAAACGAAGGCUGCAACCCAAUAUUCACAUACUAAUAGAGAGUAAGCCACAUUGGAUGCAGUGAGACUUCUAAAUAAGAUUGCACUGUAAAACCUGUACCACUCAGGACAGUGGGGAGAGUGAAACACUACCAUACAAGUGUAUCAGAUUUGGCUGGUAGAAUCCCAGUGAUCCUGCUGUAGUGUUGCUUUACCAUAUAAACUUUGCUUGUAUUUAUUAAGUGGGUUUUCAUCAUGACAGUUGUGUGUACAGGCUUUUUAUUAAGUGCUAACCUAAAACACCUGGCUUAAAAAAACCUUUUGCAAGGUAUUUGCCAGAUAUGUGUUUUGAAACUUAGGUCACUUAACAUGCCUACCCAUUUUCUAAAAAGAGAUUACCUUUCAAGUAAAUACAAAACAAGUAUACAUCUGACAGAUUCUAUGUUGUGUUCUUCAGAGGCCCAAGGACUUCAAAAAGGGUAUGUUACUUUCCAUUUUUUUGUACAGGAACCACUACCUCCUUCCCUAGCAAUCAAAUAAGAAGAAUAUGGUAGGGAGGAUUGGCAACACAACACAGGGAGAUGUGACUUGAUUUGAAAUAGAAUCACAUUUAUCUCCCUCUAAUUUGGAAACUUACAAAUGACCACAGUUACAGCAGUACUGUUUCCCUCCUGCCCUGAUGUUAUGUUGUUGGUAUGCACCAAGUAAGAACACAAAUAGUUGCCCACAACAGUUAAUUUUUUAUGAAUAAUAAAUAUUUAAAUUGAUUCCUAGCCCUGCCCUGUCAUCACACCUAAAGUAUAUGAACCUUGUCUAGUCAGGUUAGAUACCUGAGUCCAGCUGCCCAUGGGAUAACAUCACAGAAUUGAGAAGUUCUGAAGUACCGGGUCCACAAUUAGUAUCCUUAUAAAACUUCUUUCAAAUUUUAUGGAGGUAACAAAAUGCAAUUCACAAUUACAGAAGCUAAACAGGACAGGUGCAAUUCUACAUUUUAGACUUCAAAUAGGACAUGUAAUCAGAAUUGACAAGGAAGGAUAGAUAUGUUUAUCAUGCCAUUUGAAACAGGAAAAACCCCAGUAUUAAAAAUAAUAAGGUGUAAUAGAGUUGUCCCCAGAAAAACUGUGCGUUUACUGAAUGCUUUAUAAAUAUAUACAUUUUUAAAGAUGGGCUCUCCCCCAGUUUUAUUUCUUAUCAAGAGGAGCAGACUUGAUUGAAAAGGUUAUUCAUAUAAUGUGGAAGUGGCUUACCAAAAGAAAAAGAAUGGGGGGCGGGGCGGGAAUACAACCCUCAGCAAAAUGCAUACAAUGAGUUAUCCAAGCUCACCAGUCCCUGGAUGAUAAGGGUGAUGUGAAUGUUGCAAGCAAGAAUACAAACUAUUGAGAAUGUGCAACGAAGCAGGCUGCUCUUGGACCUGAUUGAUAGCUUACAUCCACUUGCUGGAUUCACAGCAUCUGCAGGUAAGAUUUCAUGCUCCAUUAACUAAUUCUGAGCAUGCUGUGUCCCAUUUUGCCAGGAACAAUUAGGGAUGGGCAAGCCCAGCUCAGACAAAAUAAGACAAGAAGGACGCCAAACAACCAUUCUGUUUUCCAAACUAGCUUGAUAUUCUGGAGAUUUGAAAAGCUAUUUGGAGAUCCCAAAGAUCAGCAGAAAAAGACUAAGCCAUUUAAAUGCUGCAUAACAUUUUGCACAAGGACGCAUUGAUUUGCUGCUGAGCAUAUACACUCACGAGGAGACCAUAACCAAUGCUGAUUUCUAAUGUAUGUCCCUUAUAUGAUACAUGCACUUUCAUGUAACUCAAUGCAAUUUCAUCAAAUUCAGAGUUUACCUUUUUAAGUUGGCACUUAAGAUAUCUUGGGUAUAUGCUUACAACCAUUCAGCUAAAAUAAUGAGUGCAAAUACAAAGCCUUUUUCCUGGGCGAUAAAUGCCAACCUGCCAUGCCAUUGUAUGUCUCACCUUGUAGUUCUGAAAUGAUGCAAUGUAUUGGUAAUGCAUGGCCCUAUAUGUUUAGGAAAGAGAUGGGGGAAAUUUCAUGCAGGUGGUGAGUUACUUGUUUUGUUUUAUGGUCUUCUGAUGUCAUAUAUGCAUAUGUUGCUGAUGGAACUGCAGUGCUUCCCCACUACCACCCUCAGGGCACAUCUCAGAAAAGCAUGAUAUUCUCUUAGAGGAAAGCUGCUGGCACUAGGAUAGUGGGCAGGGACAGACCUCUCUCUUCCUCCUGUAUGCCUUUGCAGCUCCCACCAGCUAACAGGAAACAGGGGUGUAAGUUUUUGUUUGUUUUAUGUGAAGGGUGGUAUUUUGUUUUAUGUAUUGAUGUGUUAAAUUUUGAUGGUCGUUGCUUUUAACCAUUUUGUAGGUUUUUAAACUUGAUGCAUAAUUUAUUUAUUUAUUAAAUUAUUUUCUUGUUACAAAAUUGUACACACAUAAGUUUUUAAAAAUGACAUGACUAACAAAAUUGGCGGGGGGGGUAUUAUUAUUACAUAUUAUUUAACAGGACAUAAUAAUGAAAUGAUUACAGUAAAUCACUAAAAUGAGUUCCUCAAUAAAUAAAAAGUCUACACCUUUUCCUUAAUAAAGCACUAGAGCUCCGGUGUUUUUGACAUCCUUCUUUGGUAUCUCUGCAUACAACCACUUCAAUAAGCCCUCCUUUCGACCUGCAGUCCAGAACAAAGAACUAUAAUUUAAUUCCAAGCGGACUGUGUUGUUAUUUUCAGCCAUCCUACCAGGACAUUCUGGAUGUAAAAAACUUGAGGUCAUUAAGAAUAGCAAUAAUACUGCAUUGUGGGGAUUUUUACAUUGAAAUACUGAUAUCAGGGUGAAAGCUGUGACUUACUAUCAUCAUUACACUGAAAUACACACAUGCUUUGAUACUGCAGUAGCAUCCAAUCAUACAUAUUGGUCAGUUACUUGUAGGUCUUUGGAUAACAAGUGUCUAAUAAGUCAUUAUCAUCAUUGGAGUAGGUGGUAAAUGUCUUGUUCAAAGUUAUGACCCAAGGGAUUGGGAACACAUGUUCCAUGUAAACAUUUCAAAUCAUUUGCAGAACUCAAAAAGCAUUGUGUGGAUUUAAUGCAGAACAUUGUAGCAGAUGAACUGGGAGAGGGGUGGCAUUUCUCUUUGUAAAAAUGUACAACCUACUUUUUGAACUUGGAGGUAAUACUGUAUCUCAAAGGGGAAACACAAAAAAUAGCAAUAAAAGUGUUGAAUGGCAGCC